rnacentral:rRNA from 1 species
UUGAAGAGUUUGAUCAUGGCUCAGAUUGAACGCUGGCGGCAGGCCUAACACAUGCAAGUCGAGCGGUAGCACAGAGAGCUUGCUCUCGGGUGACGAGCGGCGGACGGGUGAGUAAUGUCUGGGAAACUGCCUGAUGGAGGGGGAUAACUACUGGAAACGGUAGCUAAUACCGCAUAAUGUCGCAAGACCAAAGUGGGGGACCUUCUGGCCUCAUGCCAUCAGAUGUGCCCAGAUGGGAUUAGCUAGUAGGUGGGGUAACGGCUCACCUAGGCGACGAUCCCUAGCUGGUCUGAGAGGAUGACCAGCCACACUGGAACUGAGACACGGUCCAGACUCCUACGGGAGGCAGCAGUGGGGAAUAUUGCACAAUGGGCGCAAGCCUGAUGCAGCCAUGCCGCGUGUGUGAAGAAGGCCUUCGGGUUGUAAAGCACUUUCAGCGGGGAGGAAGGCGAUAAGGUUAAUAACCUUGUCGAUUGACGUUACCCGCAGAAGAAGCACCGGCUAACUCCGUGCCAGCAGCCGCGGUAAUACGGAGGGUGCAAGCGUUAAUCGGAAUUACUGGGCGUAAAGCGCACGCAGGCGGUCUGUCAAGUCGGAUGUGAAAUCCCCGGGCUCAACCUGGGAACUGCAUUCGAAACUGGCAGGCUAGAGUCUUGUAGAGGGGGGUAGAAUUCCAGGUGUAGCGGUGAAAUGCGUAGAGAUCUGGAGGAAUACCGGUGGCGAAGGCGGCCCCCUGGACAAAGACUGACGCUCAGGUGCGAAAGCGUGGGGAGCAAACAGGAUUAGAUACCCUGGUAGUCCACGCCGUAAACGAUGUCGAUUUGGAGGUUGUGCCCUUGAGGCGUGGCUUCCGGAGCUAACGCGUUAAAUCGACCGCCUGGGGAGUACGGCCGCAAGGUUAAAACUCAAAUGAAUUGACGGGGGCCCGCACAAGCGGUGGAGCAUGUGGUUUAAUUCGAUGCAACGCGAAGAACCUUACCUGGUCUUGACAUCCACAGAACUUUCCAGAGAUGGAUUGGUGCCUUCGGGAACUGUGAGACAGGUGCUGCAUGGCUGUCGUCAGCUCGUGUUGUGAAAUGUUGGGUUAAGUCCCGCAACGAGCGCAACCCUUAUCCUUUGUUGCCAGCGGUUAGGCCGGGAACUCAAAGGAGACUGCCAGUGAUAAACUGGAGGAAGGUGGGGAUGACGUCAAGUCAUCAUGGCCCUUACGACCAGGGCUACACACGUGCUACAAUGGCAUAUACAAAGAGAAGCGACCUCGCGAGAGCAAGCGGACCUCAUAAAGUAUGUCGUAGUCCGGAUUGGAGUCUGCAACUCGACUCCAUGAAGUCGGAAUCGCUAGUAAUCGUAGAUCAGAAUGCUACGGUGAAUACGUUCCCGGGCCUUGUACACACCGCCCGUCACACCAUGGGAGUGGGUUGCAAAAGAAGUAGGUAGCUUAACCUUCGGGAGGGCGCUUACCACUUUGUGAUUCAUGACUGGGGUGAAGUCGUAACAAGGUAACCGUAGGGGAACCUGCGGUUGGAUCACCUCCUU